rnacentral:lncRNA from 1 species
UGGGGUAGAUAAUAUAUAGGUUCGUUUCGUGUGUAUUUUAGUCCAGACGCCAUCUAAUUAACUAUCGAUUUGACCUCAGAUGACCAUAUAAGCGAUGUAAACAUAAAUAAAGAUAUAUAUAGAUUAAACCAACACGUGCAAUUGGAUUUUUAUAGGUCUGUUUGAUUUUAUUUUAUAGAUUAAAAAUAGAUGUUUCUCAUUGUUUUAACCGUAUAAGAAUGAUUUUAUGUGCAUCGAAUUAGUAAUGAAAUGAUUUACCGUAGUUUCACUUUCAUUGUUGACAUUCUUUUUCUUUAAAUAACCAGUACACGUACAAUGCAUGCAUUGUCAAUCUCUAGCUAGGGGUUAAAUUGAAGUUCACAUGAAUACGGAUUUAAAGAGGUCGACUCAUUCACUUGCAAGUGAAUAACUAAUUAUCAAUGUUUCUUAGCGUAAUUUGACAAAAUUGAACCUUUUUGGCUGCAAAAAGC